rnacentral:misc_RNA from 1 species
UCUCCGUUGGUGAACCAGCGGAGGGAUCAUUACCGAGUUUACAACUCCCAAACCCCUGUGAACAUACCAUUUGUUGCCUCGGCGGUGCCUGCUUCGGCAGCCCGCCAGAGGACCCAAACCCUUGAUUCUAUACAGUAUCUUCUGAGUAAAUGAUUAAAUAAAUCAAAACUUUCAACAACGGAUCUCUUGGUUCUG